rnacentral:rRNA from 1 species
GGGGGAUAUUGCACAAUGGGCGAAAGCCUGAUGCAGCGACGCCGCGUGGAGGAUGAAGGCCUUCGGGUCGUAAACUCCUGUCUAGGGGGAUGAACACUGACAGUACCCCCGGAGGAAGCCCCGGCUAACUACGUGCCAGCAGCCGCGGUAAUACGUAGGGGGCGAGCGUUGUCCGGAAUUACUGGGCGUAAAGCGCGCGCAGGCGGCUUGUUAAGUCAGGUGUCAAAAUGCGGGGCUCAACCCCGUAUCGCACUUGAAACUGGCAGGCUUGAGUGCAGGAGAGGGAAGUGGAAUUCCUAGUGUAGCGGUGAAAUGCGUAGAUAUUAGGAGGAACACCAGUGGCGAAGGCGACUUCCUGGACUGUAACUGACGCUCAGGCGCGAAAGCUAGGGGAGCAAAC